AAAGGGUUAUUAUGUAAAUGAUAUUAACCUAGACUAGGAUCCUUAGUUAGCUAUAUAUUGUACUUGACCAUCUAAUAAGAACUACAUUCCAUAAUCUACAAACUAUCUUAUGGCUUGAUGUAUUGUUCGCUUGGAGCACAUAUUACUUGAGCUUUGUUUUUUUUUCUUCAUUUCCACUGUUUUUUAGAAAUUUUUAAUCUUCUUAAAUAUAUUUUAUUUUUUAUGAUUGAUAAAUUUAUCAUUUUAUAAAAAUAUAUUAUAAAAAUACAUAUCGUAAAAUGCUAAAGCCGACAUUAGAAAUGGU
rnacentral:lncRNA from 1 species